rnacentral:rRNA from 1 species
ACUGUGUGUUGUUGGGUAGGGGAGCGUUCUGUAAGCCUGUGAAGGUGUGUCGUGAGGCAUGCUGGAGGUAUCAGAAGUGCGAAUGCUGACAUAAGUAACGAUAAAGCGGGUGAAAAGCCCGCUCGCCGGAAGACCAAGGGUUCCUGUCCAACGUUAAUCGGGGCAGGGUGAGUCGACCCCUAAGGCGAGGCCGAAAGGCGUAGUCGAUGGGAAACGGGUUAAUAUUCCCGUACUUGGUGUUACUGCGAAGGGGGGACGGAGAAGGCUAUGUUGGCCGGGCGACGGUUGUCCCGGUUUAAGCGUGUAGGUGUGUGUUCCAGGUAAAUCCGGUUCACUUUAACACUGAGGCGUGACGACGAGGCACUACGGUGCUGAAGCAACAAAUGCCCUGCUUCCAGGAAAAGCCUCUAAGCAUCAGGUAACAUCAAAUCGUACCCCAAACCGACACAGGUGGUCAGGUAGAGAAUACCAAGGCGCUUGAGAGAACUCGGGUGAAGGAACUAGGCAAAAUGGUGCCGUAACUUCGGGAGAAGGCACGCUGACACGUAGGUGAAGUGAUUUACUCAUGGAGCUGAAGUCAGUCGAAGAUACCAGCUGGCUGCAACUGUUUAUUAAAAACACAGCACUGUGCAAACACGAAAGUGGACGUAUACGGUGUGACGCCUGCCCGGUGCCGGAAGGUUAAUUGAUGGGGUCAGCGCAAGCGAAGCUCCUGAUCGAAGCCCCGGUAAACGGCGGCCGUAACUAUAACGGUCCUAAGGUAGCGAAAUUCCUUGUCGGGUAAGUUCCGACCUGCACGAAUGGCGUAAUGAUGGCCAGGCUGUCUCCACCCGAGACUCAGUGAAAUUGAACUCGCUGUGAAGAUGCAGUGUACCCGCGGCAAGACGGAAAGACCCCGUGAACCUUUACUAUAGCUUGACACUGAACAUUGAGCCUUGAUGUGUAGGAUAGGUGGGAGGCUUUGAAGCGUGGACGCCAGUCUGCGUGGAGCCGACCUUGAAAUACCACCCUUUAAUGUUUGAUGUUCUAACGUGGACCCGUAAUCCGGGUUGCGGACAGUGUCUGGUGGGUAGUUUGACUGGGGCGGUCUCCUCCUAAAGAGUAACGGAGGAGCACGAAGGUUGGCUAAUCCUGGUCGGACAUCAGGAGGUUAGUGCAAUGGCAUAAGCCAGCUUGACUGCGAGCGUGACGGCGCGAGCAGGUGCGAAAGCAGGUCAUAGUGAUCCGGUGGUUCUGAAUGGAAGGGCCAUCGCUCAACGGAUAAAAGGUACUCCGGGGAUAACAGGCUGAUACCGCCCAAGAGUUCAUAUCGACGGCGGUGUUUGGCACCUCGAUGUCGGCUCAUCACAUCCUGGGGCUGAAGUAGGUCCCAAGGGUAUGGCUGUUCGCCAUUUAAAGUGGUACGCGAGCUGGGUUUAGAACGUCGUGAGACAGUUCGGUCCCUAUCUGCCGUGGGCGCUGGAGAACUGAGGGGGGCUGCUCCUAGUACGAGAGGACCGGAGUGGACGCAUCACUGGUGUUCGGGUUGUCAUGCC